AGUCAAUAGAUACCCUGGUAGUCCACGCCGUAAACGAUGGCCACUCGGCCUUUGGGGGCGGAAUCUCCGCCCGUGGGGGCCUUAGCUAAACGCGGGAAGUGGCCCGCCUGGGAACUACGAGCGCAAGCUUAAAAACUCAAAGGAAUUGACGGGGGCCCGCACAAGCAGCGGAGCGUGUGGUUUAAAUUCGACGCAACGCGCAGAACCUUACCCAGGUUUGACAUGCACCUGCAAGCUGCUGAAAGGCAGUCGCCUUCGAGGGUGGUGCACAGAUGCUGCAUGGCUGUCGCCAGCUCGUGUCGUGAGAUGUUGGGUUAAGUCCCGCAACGAGCGCAACCCCUACGGUCAGUUACUUGUGUCUGGCCGGACUGCCCCUUUGGGGAGGAAGGCGGGGAUGACGUCAAGUCCGCAUGGCUCUUACGCCUGGGGCGACACACACGCUACAAUGCCGGUCGCAACGCGCAGCAACCUCGCAAGAGGAAGCGAAUCGCCAAGGACCGGCCCAGUGCAGAUUGGGGGCUGCAACUCG
rnacentral:rRNA from 1 species